AUUAUUAUCUCCAGGGGAGAUACCACGAUCACAAAGGUCGUUUUCCCAGGGUGAGGCUUAUCCAUUGCACUCUGCAUGUGUUGACCCCUGUGAUUUCCCCAAAUGUGGGAAACUCGACUGCAUAAUUUGUGUUAGUGGGGGACUGCAUUCACACUUUCCCCUG
rnacentral:snRNA from 1 species